AAAGUUCCCUUCGGGGGACAAGUAGAGUGGCGCACGGGUGAGUAACACGUAGGUAAUCUACCUUCGGAUGGGGAAUAACAACCGGAAACGGUUGCUAAUACCGCAUAAUGCAGCGGCACCUAAUGGUGACAGUUGUUAAAGCGGGGGAUCGCAAGACCUCGCGUCUGAAGAGGAGCCUGCGGCGGAUUAGCUAGUUGGUAAGGUAACGGCUUACCAAGGCGACGAUCCGUAGCCGGCCUGAGAGGGCGGUCGGCCACACUGACACUGACAUACGGGUCAGACUCCUACGGGAGGCAGCAGUCGGGAAUUUUGGGCAAUGGGCGAAAGCCUGACCCAGCAACGCCGCGUGAAGGAUGAAAUCCCUCGGGAUGUAAACUUCGCAAGAACGGGAAGAAUAAGUAGGGGACAAUACCCCCUAUGAUGACGGUACCGUUUGUAAGCUCCGGCUAACUCCGUGCCAGCAGCCGCGGUAAUACGGGGGGAGCAAGCGUUGUUCGGAUUUACUGGGCGUAAAGGGCGCGUAGGCGGCCAGCACAAGUCAGUUGUGAAAUCUCCGAGCUUAACUCGGAAAGGUCAACUGAUACUGUGCGGCUAGAGUGCGGAAGGGGCAACUGGAAUUCUUGGUGUAGCGGUGAAAUGCGUAGAUAUCAAGAGGAACACCUGCGGCGAAGGCGGGUUGCUGGGCCGACACUAACGCUGAUGCGCGAAAGCUAGGGGAGCGAACGGGAUUAGAUACCCCGGUAGUCCUAGCCUUAAACGAUGAAUGCUUGGUGUCUGGGGUUAUAAAGU
rnacentral:rRNA from 1 species